AAAAUAUCCAAUCACCACAUGGGUGUGACCUAGCCGUCGCUCCUCCCACAUUCGCUCAUCCCACCUCCUCCUCUCCCUCCCGCGAUCCCCUCUGCCUCGCACGCCGCCACCGCUCGCCCUCACGCCGCCUCCGCCUCAGCUCGCCCUCGCGCCGCUGCCGCCUCUGCCCCCGCUCGCCCUCGCUCCGCUGUCGCCUUCGCCUCCGCUCGCCCUCAUCUCUGCUCAUUAGGAGGAGCGCGGCUCACCGCUGGACCUCGCGAGAGAGGUCAGGGUUAGGGUCUCGGCCCGGGGUGGCUACUGCGGAGCUCCUGGCGGGCUACCUGCUCUGCCUGCUCGCGCUUGCGGUGGCCAAGGCGACCACGCUGCUCUGGGUCAUGCAUCGUCGCUCCACUCCACGAUGCCAUGUUGCUCCCCCGCGCCUCCUCCCGGUCCUCCAGGAAGAAGAGGAUGCAUACGAAGUAAGGCUUUGGCUUUCCUCUCCUCCAAGUUCUUCCAGCAUGAGUUGCUCGGUACUGUGAGAACGUGGAGAUGUGCAGGCUCACAGAGUGGAUAAGUUGUAGAUUGUGUAUGGAUAAGUAAGAUAUGUGGCUGCUAGGUGCAGGUACACAAAGAUGAUGAGGUCAGAGCCUUGUUUAAGCAAGUGCAAGGAGAAGUCCCUGGAUUGCCUAUAAUCAUUAUGAAGGUGGCAUCUCAGGAACCUUCUAUUGAGUUGUUUUACUGGCUUAAUUUGGCCGCUCUUGAGCAUCCAGCAGCUCUGUAUCCGAAGACUGUCACCAUUUGUAAAUACUACGUACUUGUUGCUAUGUAAGAAAACCAUACAUCCAACAACUGCCAAUGGGGCGCGCCACGAUGUGUGUUGGCGGGCUCCAUUCUUUGCUCCAGGAAUCAUUGUACUCGACGGUCUCUGUUUUCUAUAAGUGAGGAGCAUAACAUGGCUAUGGUACAAGUAUGUUGGCUUGAGAAGCAUCAGAACUAAAGGUUGAAUAUAAGCAAGUGAAAUUCUAACAACCUCAAUAUUCUGUGGUGUCGACCUGGUGUCAUACUACUUAAUUAACUCAUUGUGUGCCAUACCCCUGGCCGUGAUGCCCAUGACUUCAGUCCUUGCUUGUGAUAUGUCUCCAACGUAUCUAUAAUUUUUGAUUGUUCCAUGCUAUUAUAUUACCCUUUUUGGAUGUUUAUGGGCUUUAUUUUACAUAUUUAUAUCAUUUUUGGGACUAACCUACUAACCGGAGGCCCAGCCCAUAUUGCUGUUUUUGUGCCUAUUUCAGUAUAUUGAAGAAAAGGAAUAUCAAACGGAGCUCAAACGGAAUGAAACCUUCGGGAGCGUUAUUUUUGGAACGAAUCUGAUUCGAAGAGCCUGGAGUGCAAGUCAAGAAAGCUCUGAGGGCCCCACGAGAUAGGAGGGCGCCCCUCUAGGGCGCGCCCCCCUGUCUCGUGGGCUCCUCGGGCGUCCACUGACGUACUUUUUCCUCCUAUAUAUACCUACGGACCCCGAAAACAUCCAGGAGCACCACUAAACACAAUUUCCACCGUCGUAACCUUCUGUAUCCGCGAGAUCUCAUCUUGGAGCCUUCGCCGGCACUCUGCCGGAGGGGGAAUCGACCACGGAGGGCUUUUUCAUCAACACCAUAGCCCCUCCGAUGAGUUGUUAGUAGUUUACCACAGACCUACGGGUCCAUAGUUAUUAGCUAGAUAGCUUCUUCUCUCUUUUUGGAUCUCAAUACAAUGUUCUCCCCCUCUCUUGUGGAGAUCUAUUUGAUGUAAUCUCUUUUUGCGGUGUGUUUGUCGAGAUCCGAUGAAUUGUGGGUUUAUGAUCAAAUUUAUCUAUGAAUAAUAUUUGAAUCUUCUCUGAAUUCUUUUAUGUAUGAUUGAGUUA
rnacentral:rRNA from 1 species